CUACCCUUCCGUUGGAGGGGGGGGAGGGUUGCUGUGUGCCAUACACUUGGCAAGACCCUAGGGCCGAGUCCUGCCUCUGCCACUUAUUAACUGUGUGCCUGUGAGCAAGUCGCAUCCACUCUGCAAACUGGCCCUGAUCACAUCUGUCCUGCCUGCCCCAUAGUGUCGUUAUGAGAAUCUCGGGGAAUCACGGAAGUGGGUGCACUUUGGACUCAGCCCUCGACAUAAACGUGUAUUCCUAUCAAUAGAAACAUAGUGCAGUAGAGUAUGGUAUGUUCCUUUAGAAUAAAGUCCAACAGAUAUUGACAUUAAGUGAAAAACACCAGGCAGAAAACAAGGCACUAAAAGAGAAGAACACAGACUGGGAUCUAUAGGGCUCCUGCUAAGGGCAAGUUCACAGUGACAAGCCAUCAGUGAAGGGUUCCUGGAAGAGGAGGCUUUCUACCAAACCUGGAGUGGCUCUCACCACGCUGAUCAAAGACCAACAGCUCUUCAAGGGCAGGGCACCUCUCUCAUAGGUCUCAGUUUUCCCAGCCUCUCCCUGGCACUAAGUCACUUCAUAGUAGAUGGGUGUUGAGUGAAGGGAAGCCUGAACGAACCAGGAACUCGGACACCUGGGGGGAGGAGGAGGGAGUCCCAGAUAAGAACAGGCAGGUUGUGAAGGCUUGUUCGGGGCACACCGCAGACCAGUUUGGGUGCAGUGAGGCUCACAGAGGGCAGAUGAGGAAGGGGAGGUUGGAAAGGCGGGCCGGGGUCUGAGGGCAGAGGCCUCAACCACGGGGUGCAGGAGGAGGUCAAGGCUUCUGAGCACAUGGAGGAGCAAAGGGAGUUCAGAGUGAUGUCAUAAAAUCAGUAUUUGGGGAGAUGACUCUGGCAGCUGCACGCAGGACUGGCUGGGGAAGGGAGCACAGGAGACCUGGCAGAGCAGCCAGGAGGCAACUGCAAUAAUUCAAGCAGGUGGUGAGAGGGGCCGGCGAGCCACUGCCUCCCCGGCAGAAUCACGCUUCUGGCAGCAACCGUCUCUACGACAGCGGGAGCGCCAUCAAGGGCAACACUCGGCGACUGUCCCCAUUAGACUGCACCUCCAAUGUCCACCAGUCCUCCCGCCUGACAGCCGGUGCUGGCUAUGCCCGGCACCGGUUUCCUGCAAGUGGCCACCUUCCCCCUCCUGGAUCCCGCCAGGGCUGAGCCAGUCCAUUUUUAGAUGACAGCUCCCAUAGUACACUCUCCCUUAAAGGAGAUAAACAGGGAUGAGGCGGGGUGGGGGGUGGGGGGUGGGGGCGCAGGGAGAGAGCUUCCACGGCUGAGCGCACUGUCCCAAAGAGGUAUCUUCCCAACGAUUUCAUAAGGCACUGUGUUGACAUGACACUGAAGACUACGAUAAAAAGGAGGUGGAGAAAAAAGUAUGAAAGAAAGGACUGGAGGGUUCAAGCCACAUUAAAACCACGAUGAGAGCAGACUGCUUCCUAGGAGCCCACUGUGCACCGUGCCGUGUCUGGGGCAUAAGGACAGAGACACAGGAAGAAACAACAUCGUAAGAGGGGGUGCCACAGGCCUCAAGAGAAGGGACACCAAGAGCUGGAACCAGAGGACUGCAAGGGAAGAAGCCUCAGCCGCCCGUCUUGAGGCCAGGACGUCUCAGGGCCAGCCCCCUGCCCUCUGAGGCACCGGCCCCAUUCUCCAGAUAGGACAACAUCAGCCUGGAAGGUGCUGCCAGAGGCAGACAAGAAGAAGAGGGUUAACAGUAAUGACUUAGGUCGUUUCACAGUUACCACGGGCUUGGCAUCGUGUUCUCAAGUGCUCUACACGUCCCAUCUCUUUACUCCUGCCAUAACCCCAAGAAAUGCUCAGUGCCGUGGUGUCCCAUUUUACAGAGAAGAACGGAGACAGGAUGAGGAGGUGACCUGGCUACCGGGAAGUUAGAGAGCUAAAAUCUAAUUCCAGGUUGAAAAAGCUACACUCUUAACUGCCACAUCGAAGGCUGGGAGACGCCUGAGACUCAGCACUCUCCCAAGAUCACGUGUUCCUUGAAAGAUGGUCACGCAAGGGCAGGUUGCUUUUGGAGCUGUCCUCACGCCAUUCCAUGCAGUAAUAAAUAACAAUUUCAUUUUACUCAAGAUACUAGACUACUCUAAAUAAUGCAUACAUAUAUACAGAUUAAUGACUUAUACAUGUUAAUAUAUGGUUAUACCGUAUAACAGAAUAUGUCAUUGUAAUACAUAAAUAUAUCAAAUGAGUAUACGUAUGUGCACAUAUAUCUCUAGUCUUACGACAUCCUCAUUAGGCAGAUACUAAGUUCUCUCUUUUCCAAAUGAGAAAGCGGAUGAAAAGAGUUCGUGCAACUUCCCCAGGGGCUCACAGCUGUGAAAAGCCAGGAUUUGAACCCUGACAGCUUUGUUCCCAAGUCAUCCUCUUGAUGCCCCACUCCACUGCUCACACUGGCUUCCUCUGACUCAACUACAAAUUCAGAGCUCAGUUCGAGGCUUCUAGGUGCUCUCUAUGCCCACACCAUGCCCAGCCCCGACGCCGAAUCCUUUGUAGGUGCCUUGAUAAAUGCCUACUAAUGAACAAACAGAUGCCUCCUGCACUAUUUAUAGCUCCCAGCAUGGCCAACUGGCUAUAAUUAGCACAGCCUCCCUCAGGAUGCGGCUAAAUUAAACCGGUGGGAUUAGAAGCAACAGCCUCACACAGCACCUCUGGACACCUCCAGCAAAGAGCACUGGUGCUGCCCAGGAGUCCCAGCCAGUGGCCUUUCUCUUGGAUGGUGCCCUGAUCCAAGGGUUUCCCAAUGGCCUCUAGUGGCCUGAUCUCAAUUCUGGGGGCUGAUUUCUCCUGGGACCCCCUAAUAAAGUCAAAAGUAGAUGAGUAAUCCCUCUCUUGGAGGGUCGGGAAGCCAGGAUUCUGGUCCUGGCUCUGCCUAUGAUCAGCCCAAUGGCCAAGAGACUCCACUUGUCUGGCUUUCAGUUUUGCCUCUUGAAACGCAGAGGCCAGGACAGGUCCAUUUCUGAAGUCCCUCCGGGGCAUUUUGCAUAUGUCAAGUGGCCACCGCUGGUGCUGUCCUGGGGCUGAGAUAGAUCCCAGGAGGCUGUAGAGAAGGGCCUAGGGAAGGUGCAGGCCACCCACAAGGGAGGGCUCUGACCUGAGAGCCUGCUGUGACUUCUCAGCACGCCGCGCUGUCAACCUUUUCUUUAAUGAUCUGUGCAACUGCUCAACCGCCAUUGUUGCAUAAAAGCAGCCAGAGAAGAUAUGUAAAUGAAUGCACAUGGCUACGUUCUAAUAAAACUUUAUGUAUACACAUUGA